UACGGGGGGAGCGAGCGUUAUUCGGAUUUAUUGGGCGUAAAGGGUUCGUAGGCGGUCAGGUCAGUCAGGGGUGAAAUCUAACAGCUUAACUGUUAAACUGCCCUUGAAACUUCCUGACUUGAGUACGGGAGAGGAAAGCGGAAUUCUCGGUGUAGCGGUGAAAUGCGUGGAUAUCGAGAGGAACACCCGUGGCGAAAGCGGCUUUCUGGCCCGAUACUGACGCUGAUGAACGAAAGCCAGGGGAGCAAACGGGAUUAGAUACCCUCGUA
rnacentral:rRNA from 1 species